AUUGAACGCUGGCGGCAGGCCUAACACAUGCAAGUCGAACGAGUGGCGGACGGGUGAGUAAUGUCUGGGAAACUGCCCGAUGGAGGGGGAUAACUACUGGAAACGGUAGCUAAUACCGCAUACCAUCGGAUGUGCCCAGAUGGGAUUAGCUGGUAGGGGAGGUAACGGCUCACCUAGGCGACGCUCCCUAGCUGGUCUGAGAGGAUGACCAGACACACUGGAACUGAGACACGUUCCAGACUCCUACGGGAGUCAGCAGUGGGGAAUAUUGCAGAAUGGGCGCAAGCCUGAUGCAGCCAUGCCGCGUGUAUGAAGAAGCCCUUCGGUUUGUAAAGUACUUUCAGCGGGGAGGCGUUACCCGCAGAAGAAGCACCGGCUAACUCCGUGCCAGAAGCCGCGGUAAUAC
rnacentral:rRNA from 1 species